rnacentral:pre_miRNA from 1 species
UGUUAAAAAUUUCAUUAAUUUCUAUUGUUAAAAACCGAUAUUGCUAAUGAAAUAAAUAGAUAAUCACACGUGACAUGCCACAUAUACCUAAUGAUGACAUAUAAAAACUAAUUUUUAAUAGUAAAAAUAGAUAAUUUUUUAAUA